UCAGGUCUGGGGGCUGAGUUGUAGAACGAGCUGAGGGUUCCCCGGGUCAGAGACACCCGGGCGGGAGCUGAGAAACUCGCCAGGAACACGCGCUGUCGGGGCGAGUGUGAUCCCAGGGGGAAGCGCGGGAAGUGCUAAGUGGCUCCAGGAGCGCGCGGGCGUAUAAUCAGGAUAUAAUCAGUAUAUAACCAGGAUGCGGGGCGGCAGGGAGGGACACUGAAUCCUCACCGGGGAGGAACCAGGAGAAGCACGCUUCUGUAACAAAAAUGGUGUAACAAAAAUGGCAGAGAUCCCUGCCUGCAGGGAACCCCAGAAUCUGGAAGCCCCCCGAAGGCAGAUGUGGGUGUCACGCGUGCAGGUGUGCCCAGACGGAUAAGUGUUCGGAGCAGGUUGCUGUGUUGUAUUAGGAGCUAACCAAGCAAAGUUCUAUGUGGGAAUCUGAGUGGGAGAUUCGUUGUUUUGUGUACUCACAGGCAGAGCGACAGGCCUGCCUUAAGUCCUUGGAAGUGGAAAGUAAGUUACUGUUCAAGCCUAAGCUGGCAGGCCUGACCGACUCACAAGGCAGGUGAGACUAGACUCUCGCCUCUGCUUGGAGUAGAAGGACAAGUGACCCCCUUGCUACCCAUGUGCCCCUACAUAACAGAUAUGAUGCUCUGGGACUGGAAGGAGAGGACUCUGCAACAAGUAGUCAAGACCAAGAAAAGGGCAGUGCUACAAAGUAGGAACAAUCAACCACCCAUGUUAGAACAAGUGCCACCAAAAAAAGCACAAAGGGUGUUAGUUGUUGAAGACUUCUCCCUGAGGGGCACAGAACCAGCUAUUUGCCAUCUGGAUCACCUCUCUAGAGACAUUUGCUGCCUACCAGGGACCCGCAUGCAUGAUAGCACAAAGUGGCUACCAAGCCUUGUAAAAACAGAGGACUAACAUCCACUACUACUAUUUUGUGUAAGGUCAAAUUAGGCUGCAACAAGGCGAUUGAGAAAUAUUAAAGGGGACUUAAUGUCUCUUGGAAAGAAGUUGAAAGGGUCAGGAACACAAGUAAUAUUGUCCUCUGCCCUUCCAGCUGGAGACUGGGACCCAGCACGAAGGAGAAAAUGGAUAAGAUGAAUGACUGCCUGCAUGGCUGCUGCUAUGCUCAGGGUUUUCGGUUCUGUGAUGUGGGAUGCACCUUCAAGAGCCUGGGCAUGUUGACACCAGGUGGGGUGCACCUGACCAAGUGGGUUAAGAGUGUUCUGGGACUGACAGAACUUAUUAGCUGGAUUUGAUAGGGGAAAGGGGUGUUCUGAACGUCAGAGAAAACAGGAACCAACACCUUAGGAAGCACUGUAAGUCAUCCCAAAGGAAUCAGAGAGGCCUUCUACCAUAAGGUGAAGAAGUUGACAGCCCAGCUGAAGUGCCUCUACACCAAUGCAUGCAACAUGGGUAACAAGCAAUUAGUUGAAAACCAUGAUGCAGUUAGAAAACUAUGACCUAAUUGCUAUCAUGGAAGCAUGGUGGGACAACUGGAACACUGCAGCUGAGUGUUGCACUCUGUGUUAAGGAAAGGGUUAGAUUUUGAAGAGCUGUGUUUGAGAAACAGUCACAGACAGGUUGAGAGCCUGAGGUGAAAAUCAAGGACAGGACAAACAAAGGACACCUGGAGGUGGAGGUGACUAUAGGCUGCCUGAUCGGGGAGCCUGUUGACGAGGCCACCUUGGUUCGGCUACAGGACACAGCUUGCUCACAAGCUCCCAUCCUGAUGAGGGAUUUCAACCACCUGGGCAUCCGCUGGGAAAGCAAUGCAGCUGGUUAUAAGCAAUCCAGGACACUCCUGGAUAGCUUCCUGGUCUAGGUGUGGGGCAGACCAACUGAGGAGAAGCAUUACUGGGCCUGGGGCUUGGUGCUCAUUGAUGUAGAUGAGCUCAUCAGAGGAGUUAAGUCUGGAGGCAGCCCAGGCUGUAAUGACCAUGCCUUGGUGAAGUUUGUAAUCUCCAGGAGCAUAGGCCUAGCAAGGAAAAAAAUCAGAAUCCUGAAGGUUGGAAGAGCAAAUUUAAAUAUGUUUAAGGACUGGGUGAAUUAGAUCCCUUGGGAAACUGUCCUUAAGGACAGAGGGACUGACCAAAUCUGGCAAGUCUUAAAGGCCACUUUCAUUAGAGCACAAGAACUUUCCCUCACAAUGUAUAGGACAUACACAAGGCAGGCCAGAAGCGAGCAUGGCUGAGCAAAGGUCUGCUCCUCAAACUGAGAAGAAAGAGGGAAAUGCACAGCUGGUGGAAGCAGGGACAGGUGACCGGGGGAGUGUACUGGGAUACAGUUCAGACAUGUAGGGACAGGGUAAAGGAAGCCAAGGCACAGAUGGAACUAGACAUGGCCAGCGAUGCAAAGAAUAACAAGAAGAGGUUCUGUAAGGACAUAGAUCAGAAGACAAAGGCCAAGAAGAUAAAGGACCCAUAUAAAUGAGAAAGGAGAACUGUUAACAACAGAUAUGGAGAAGGCUGAGGUACUCAAUGAGUUCUUCACCUCAGUUGUCACUGGCUGGGAGUCAGGCUUCCCACAUCUUUCAAGUUCCCGAAACCUUUAGGUGGGAGUCAGAGGAGUGAAGUCCCUCCCACUCUAAAGAAAGGGCAGGUUCUGGACCCCUUGAUGAAACUGAACAACCGCAAGUCUAUGGGGCCUGACAACAUGCAUUCCAGGGUCCUGAGGCAACUGAGCUCUGUCGUUGCCAAACUGUUCUCCAUCGUAUGUCAAAAGUCAUGGCAGUGAGGCCACGUCCUUGGUGAUUAGAAAAAGGGAAACAUCACUUCUAUUUUUAAAAAGGGAAGCAGGGAAGACUUGGGGAAUUACAGACCAGUUAGCCUGACCUCUGUGCCUGGGUAGAUAAUGUUGCAGAUCCUCAUGCAAGCAAUGCUAAAUCACAUACAAGACAAGGAGGUGAUCCAGGAUAGACAGCAUGGCUUUACAAAGGCAGAUCAGUCUGGAUGAUGGAGUGACUGCAGCAGUCAAUAAUUCACAACCAAUGCAAUUUGAUGCGUUUCAGUGCUGUGAGUGAGCAAGUGAGCAGCUUGAUCCUGAUCAGAAUUCCUAAUCCUUAAUGUUCUGUGGCAGUCCUAGUUAUGGACUGACACAAGGAGUGUACAGUCAGAGGAUGACUGUAGUUCAAUAUAAAAAUUGAGUAGUUUGUCUUGGUCCAGUAAUUUUUCAAAUCGCCUCUGUCAUUUGAGAAAGCUCCUCUUUGCACCAGUCUUACUUGAAAGUAAUAGUGUUCUUGGUCCACCAUUGUUUUUAAAUGUCUUUGGUAGUCUUUGGAUGAGGUCUGAAGAGUCUGAAGCAUGUACUCCCAUUGUGGGCAUUUAAAGGUCAGGCUGUUUACAGAGCAUACCAUGGGAACAAAUUUCUCUAUAAAGGCUUUGGGGACAGUUUUUAAAGUCUGUAAGGAGAAAGAAGAAGAAAAUAGGCUUCUCAGAGGCUUGCUACCAGUGUUAGUUUUGGAUUGGCAUCAUAGGCAGUCUCUGUGAUUCAGCAGAGUGAUUGUAAACCAUCUUCAGUUAUCACUGCCACCUUGUGAGAAGAGUGGUAAGAUGAGAAGUUAUUCUGGGGGAUAUUUGGAGUAAAGUGUGAAAAAAUGGAUGAUGUGGAGGGACAAGAUGUUAUCUAAUAUAAUAACCCACUUGUGUUGUUGGUACCAGGGCAGAAAGGAUUUUUCUCCUUUCAUCUUCAGUUAUCAUAGUGUGGAAAUGCAAUAUAGGGAGAAAAGGCACAUCCAUACAAAAUGUUAAGUACAAGCUUUUAUAGAUGAGUGUAACAUAGAACAGGAUGAGAAAAGCAACACUAAAGCUUCUAGCCUGUUAUACUCAUGACCUUCAGCAGCCUUGAAGGGUCUUUUUAGAUUUUCAGGUGCAUUUUCGGAUGCUUGGCCCCAAGCUUGGUUGGAUUUGAAUUUAUUUUUGAAAUUACUAGUAGAAGUUUUGGUGUGAAGCGUUCUAAUUCAUGGCACUAAUAGCAGGGCAAACAGUAGUACCGUUCUUGGUAGGGUGUUCUACCUGCCCCUGUGACCAUCAGGACUGUGGGAUGUCCGCCGGGAUCGGCUCCUUGUUGCCUGGGGCUCCCGCGAGGAAACCUGGUGUCUCUGUUGAUGCCGGUCACUCCUCCUCAAGCGGACUGGGGCAUCCUGUUCAGGCCUUUCAGCGUGGUCCUCAUCACUAGAGGUGUCAGUAGAUGUGUCUUCAGCCCAACUCUGCUGCUGGCUCCUGCUGCUCGAGGAGUCGUAGUCCUGGGCGUGCUGACCCCUGCUGUGGCUCCUGUGGUGCCGCCUCGGGGACCUGCUUCGUUCCCUCUCUCGGGUCCUGGCGCGGCCAGUGCCACGCUCCCUGCUGGAAGAGCUGCGCUGCUGGCGGCCUGUGAAGCGGUUCCGCCUCCUUCCUGCAGAGCCGCGACGAGCUCUCUGUGCUCGAUUAGGCCUGACAAAGCUGAUGUAGUGCCCUAUGGAGUACACCUCAUAAUUAUUGUCUCCCACCUUGCGGAGGAGGUAUUGGAAGGGCUCCCUGCAGAUCGGGCACACAGCUGUGUUGCGGGACCAUUGCAGUAUGCAAGGAAAGCAAAAAGAGUGGCUGCACCAGCUCACAGAGACUUGGUCCUUAAUGGUGUCCAGGCAGAUCGGGCACAUUAGGUUCUCUGUGUCACGUGGAGGCACAGCCUGGGGCACCUGGUUGGUGCUGGCAGCAGGGGAAGAGGUGCCAUCUCCUGGUGAGACCUCCUCUGCCAUCUGGCUCUGCAAACCAAAGAGACACAAAGCUCCUGACCUGCCCUGGAGACACAAUCCAGAGAUGCAGUCUGCAGAAAGCAGCCAAGCUGCCCCAGUCGAGCGCUAAACAGCUCCCGCUCGACCUCGGGGCUGUGCUUGGGGUGCUACCAGUACCAAGGACUAUCCUGAGGCAGAUGAGUGACACCAGAGGUGUCUUUGCAUGUGACAGGUCUUGGGGCAGGGCGGUGACUGACCUCUCUGACAUGUGCAAGCAGGAAUUGGGAAGGUGGGGAUGAGGUUCCUGGCCUCUCAGCAACAGAAUCUGGAGCCUGGGCAUGCGGCAGGUCCAUACCAGGACCCAGGCCCUGCCACUGUCACCACCCUGCAAAUCCUCUCUAUGCUCUCAGAAGGCAGCCAACGGGAUGGGGUUCCAUGCUCUCCUCAACUGCAGAUGUCUGUUCCCACGGGAGGAGGGUGGGCACUCUGAUCCUUCAGGGCUUCCCCACGCCACAAAACAGAUUGUCACACAUGUCACGAUGACUAUGGUGACAUCACAGUGCUUUCAGGGACUACCCAUAGAACACAGAAGCCCUGGCCUCAGGGAACAAAAGCUUCCCAGAUAGAUUCUUUCACUAGACUGACUCCCUGUCAAACAGAAUUCCCUUGCUGUAUUUUUCAUAUAAAGUCACAGGCCUCGCUGUUUAUGCCCAGCUCUAUGUUCUGUUUUAGAAAUAAACCAUCUCAAGGCAUUUCUUCUAGCUUAUAGCUUCUAGCUUGUUAUCCUCACAACCUUGGGCAGCCUUGCAUAGGUCUCUGGAUUUUUGGAUGCAUUUUUAAAUGGAGAAUAGAUCCUACGCCUCAAGCUUGACAGUUGUAUUUGACUUUAUUUUUGAGUUGGAAGUAGGAGCAGUUUUGGUGUGAAGCUUUCUAAUUCAUGGCACUAGUAGCAGGAUAUACAGCAUUACCCUUCUUGGUUGGGUGUGCUACCUGUCCCUGCGCCUGUCAGGACUGCGGGACCUCCUCUGGGAUCGGCUCCUUGCCGCCCGUGAUUCCCGGGAGGAACCCCCUCGUUCUCGCUGGCGGCGCUCGCUCCUCUCUGAGCGGACUGGGGCAUCCUGUUCAGGCCUUUCAGCGUGGUCCUCAUCACUAGAGGUGUCAGUAGACGCGUCUUCAGCCCAACUCUGCUGCUGGCUCCUGCUGCUCGAGGAGUCGUAGUCCUGGGCGUGCUGACCCCUGCUGUGGCUCCUGUGGUGCCGCCUCGGGGACCUGCUUCGUUCCCUCUCUCGGGUCCUGGCGCGGCCAGUGCCACGCUCCCUGCUGGAAGAGCUGCGCUGCUGGCGGCCUGUGAAGCGGUUCCGCCUCCUUCCUGCAGAGCCGCGACGAGCUCUCUGUGCUCGAUUAGGCCUGUCAAACCUAAUAUAGUACACCUCGUAAUUGUUGUCUGCCACCUUGCGGAAGAGGUACUGGAAAGGCUCCUGGCAAUUUGGGCAAACAGGUCUGAUGCAAGACCAUUCUAGUAUGCAAGAAAAGCAGAAAGUAUGUCUGCACCAGCUCACAGAGACUUGGUCCUUAAUGAUGUCCAGGCAGAUUGGGCACUCAGAACCACGUGGAGGCACAGCCUGGGGCACCUGGUUGGUGCUGGCAGCAGGGGAAGAGGUGCCAUCUCCUGGUGAGACCUCCUCUGCCAUCUGGCUCUGCAAACCAAAGAGACACAAAGCUCCUGACCUGCCCUGGAGACACAAUCCAGAGAUGCAGUCUGCAGAAAGCAGCCAAGCUGCCCCAGUCGAGCGCUAAACAGCUCCCGCUCGACCUCGGGGCUGUGCUUGGGGUGCUACAAGUACCAAGGACUAUCCUGAGGCAGAUGAGUGACACCAGAGGUGUCUUUGCAUGUGACAGGUCUUGGGGCAGGGCGGUGACUGACCUCUCUGACAUGUGCAAGCAGGAAUUGGGAAGGUGGGAAAGCAGUUCCUGGCCCCUCAACAACAGCAGUCAGAGCCUGUGUGUGCAGGAGUUGGGACCAGCUCCCCAGGCCCUGCCACUAUUGCCCCUCGGCAAAUCUUUUUAUCCGUUAGAAGGCAGCCAACAGGACGGAAGUCCAUACUCUGAUCAACUGCAGAUGUCUGUUCCCAUGGGAGGAGGGCAGGCACUCUGGGCCUUCAGGGCUGCCCCACACCACGGAUUGAUGUCACAUGUGUCACAAUGACCCUGUGGCGACAUCAGAGAGCUUUCAGGAAUCACACCCAGAAGGCACAAUGAUUGACAUCACACGUCAUAGUGAUUUUCUGGUGACACCACAGGGCUUUCAGAGAUUACCGAUAGAACAGAGAAGCCCUGGCCUCAGGGAACAAAAGCUGCUCAGAUAGCUCAUCUCACUAGACUGCCUUGUUGUCAAGCAGAAUUUCCUUGCUGUAUUUUUUUUAUAAAGUCACAGGCCUCACCCUUCAUGUCCAGAACUGUUUUGUUCCAAAUAAGUCAUCUCAAGGCAUUUCUUACUCUACCAACUUUCCAGGUCUGAUCCAAGUCCCUCCAUUCAGCACUGGGGAGGCUGCACCAGGAGUACUCUGUCCAGUCUUGGGUUCCCCAGCACAAGAGAGGUGGACAUACUGGAGAGCAUCCAGCAAAGGUCCACAAGGAUGAUGAAGGGACUACAGCAUCUCUCCUAUUAGGAGAUGUGAAAAGUGCUGUCUCCAGGCUGUUCAACCUGGAGAAGACUCCAGAGGGGAUCACUUUUCAGGGUAUAUGAAUACCUGAAGGGAGGGCAGAGCAAAGACCGAGCCAGGUUCUUGUCAGGCAUGCUCAGUGACAACAGGCGCAAAGCAAAACACAACAAAGCUAAAAGCUUCCCUCUGAACAUCAGGAAACCUUUUUUUGCUGUGAGGGUGACUGAGCACUGGCAGAGGUUGCCCAGGGUGCUCAUGGAAUCUCUCUCCUUGGAGAUACUCAAAAGCAGUGUGGCUGUGGUCCUUGGGCACCAUCUCUGCUUGAGCAGGGGAGGUUGGACCUGAUGACCUCUGGAGGUCCUUUUGCACAUCAGGCAUUCUAUGAUUUUGUGACUCAGAGCACACUUGUGCAGCUAAGGAAGCGUGUCUGGGUUACCUGAUGUGGGAAGAUUUGAAUGUUUCUGUAUGUUCAUGAAGAAUCAGGUUUGCCUUGUGAAAGUUGAUCAUCCAUGAAGUUGACACAUCUUUUUUUUUUACUUCGGGGGCUUUAUCAGUUAUUGCACAGAAGACCAACAAGCAAAACAAAAAUAUGAGGACAGUAUAGAGUUAAACAUCUCCCUAAAGGUAUUGGUUCUGUUUUCAUACCAUGUGUUGCAUGUGACCCAUCAGGUCACAAUUUACAACUAAUGCAACUUGCUGCAUGUCAGUGCUGUGAGUGAGCAAGUGAGCAAGCUUGAUCCUGAUCUGAAUUCCUUGCUGCAGCAUCCUAACAUUCUGCUCUGUGGUAGUCCUAGUCAUGGAGUGACGAAAGGAGUGUACAGAGUAGAGGAUGACUGUAGUUCAGUACAAAAAUUGAACACAGUUUAUCUUGGUACAGUAAUUAAUUUUUUUGAUCACCUCUAUCUUUUGACAAAACUCCUCUUCAUACCAGUUUUACUUGAAAGUAACAAUCUGCAAGAUUCCCAUUAAGGCUGUUGAAACCCUAUUUCCACACAUUUCAAAAUUAGACCCUGUGCCAUCAAAUAUAAAGGCCAGGAAAAAGUGCUAUUUAAUCCUUCACGGUCCCUCAAAUAAGUGGAACUAUCAAUGCAGAUUAAUGUCUCUGCAAUUAAACCUGCUUAUUCACCAUUCUUAAGUACAUUUUACAUAGGAUGGUUAUCAUGGUUGCAUGCAGUGACCCUCACCUCUCCCAAACAAUUAAGGAGAGAUGAGACUGGUGUCCUGGGGACAGCAUUAGGAGUACUGAAGAGCAUGAAUGCUAAAGUCCUAGGAAACAAAAAUAAAGUUAGUACCAAGUGAUUUAUACCAAUUGGAUUGCAGGAACUAACCAGUUGCUCUCAUCAGAUGUAUUACCUCAAUGGGAAAGGAUUGAUGAAAAGGAUCAUCAAUUAAUAGUGAGAACUCUAGGUGCAGCCCAUACAAAUACCUCUUAGUUGUAUUCAAGCUCAAUUGAGGAUACAACUUGCUGCAGCAACAAUUGUAAGGGAAGACAGUGGGGGUAUCUUGGCCACUGAAAUUCAUAAAGUAAUCUGGAAUAAUGCAAAUAAAUUUGAAAGAAAAUUUCAAUCUUGGUGGCAUCUUCACUUACGACCCUACCAAGUAAAACUUUUGUUUUAACAAUAUGCAAUGCUUCGUUAUAUAUCACAUAGCCUGUCAUUGCACUGGGGUUAAAUCACCACAGAAUUAUACUCUAUCCUAUAUAACACAAAAUUAUGGGUUCAACAAAAUGGGAACAAAUAGCAGACUGUCAAUAUUGAUGCAUGCAUUGCAUGGGAAAAACGGGGAUUUAUCUGUGAAAGUAACACCAUUAGGGUGAACAAAAUGUUUCUCAGUUCAAAAUACAUCCUGAUGAAAUCCUUGAACCUAUGCUUAUACAUGUUGGAAAGGGAUGUAUGAGAACUAUUUUUGAUUCCAUACUUAGAGAAAACAUCACUAUAGAAAUAAGCAAACAUCUGCAUUUGUGCUUUUAGUCAAAUUAGGGGCUUCUGUCACAACCCAUGAAUUUCUACAAUCUAGCUACACAUCCUGUCAAGAUUUACUGCCCACCCCCACUGGAAUGAACCUUCCGCUGGUGAAAAAAAUUACUGCAGCACAACCACCUGUGUCGACUGCUGGACCGCAUACGAAACAGUGGACAAAGAAUUCUAAUCACCAUUCAUCACAAUGCAGAAGAGAUACACCACGGCUUGGAAAGAAUAAACCUCAGUGGGAUACUCAACUGAAGAUGCCCUCUGUGUCUCCAGUGACCAAGAACCUGUCCUGGAAGUGUUAUCUUCCCUGAAGCAUGGAGUUUUCGGAAUGACAGAGUAGCAGAGAACUUAUGAUUAUUCUGGCAGUGACUCUGUCGAUGAGGAGGAGGAUUUUGAACUCUGUUCUAAAACUGAGGAGGAUGAAACAUGGUUAGCAAAGCACAGUUGUGAAUUACUCACAUUGACCAGCAUUGUUUUUGAGGCAUGUUAGCUGCAUGCUGUACAAUCAUAGGCUUCCUUAUAUUAAGACAGAGGAAUAAAGAGUUGUUAAAGAGUUGUAAGUCUCUAUACUAAACGUGACAGAAAUAUGGAUCAGUAGAGAUGUUUCUUUGCUUGGGAAAAAAAAGUUUCUGGACUACCUGAAAACUUUCUGACCCAACACAAAACAAACAUAUACAUAAUGUGUAUAUGCUAUACUGUACUUUGCUUACUUGCUUUGAGCUGCUUAAAAUACUGGUCAGACUAAAAGGUGAAGUUGAAUCUUAAA